GAUGAACGCUAGCGGCAGGCUUAACACAUGCAAGUCGAGGGGUAUUGGUUUUCGGACCAAGAGACCGGCGCACGGGUGCGUAACGCGUAUGCAAUCUACCUUUUGCAGAGGGAUAGCCCCAGAGAAAUUUGGAUUAAUACCUCAUAGUAUAGUACUUUGGCAUCAAGGAACUAUUAAAGUCACAACGGCAAAGAUGAGCAUGCGUCCCAUUAGCUAGUUGGUAAGGUAACCGGCUUACCAAGGCUACGAUGGGUAGGGGUCCUGAGAGGGAGAUCCCCCACACUGGUACUGAGACACGGACCAGACUCCUACGGGAGGCAGCAGUGAGGAAUAUUGGACAAUGGGCGCAAGCCUGAUCCAGCCAUGCCGCGUGCAGGAUGACGGUCCUAUGGAUUGUAAACUGCUUUUAUACAGGAAGAAACACUCCGACGUGUCGGAGCUUGACGGUACUGUAAGAAUAAGGAUCGGCUAACUCCGUGCCAGCAGCCGACGG
rnacentral:rRNA from 1 species